rnacentral:rRNA from 1 species
AGUGAACGCUGGCGGCAGGCCUAAUACAUGCAAGUCGAACGGCAGCACAGCAGAGCUUGCUCUGUGGGUGGCGAGUGGCGGACGGGUGAGGAAUACAUGGGAAUCUGCCCAGUCGUGGGGGAUAACGUAGGGAAACUUACGCUAAUACCGCAUGCGCCCUUCGGGGAAAAGCCGGGGACCUUCGGGCCUGGCGCGAUUGGAUGAGCCCAUGUCGGAUUAGCUAGUUGGCGGGGUAAAGGCCCACCAAGGCGACGAUCCGUAGCUGGUCUGAGAGGAUGAUCAGCCACACUGGAACUGAGACACGGUCCAGACUACUACGGGAGGCAGCAGUAGGGAAUAUUGGACAAUGGGCGCAAGCCUGAUCCAGCCAUGCCGCGUGAGUGAAGAAGGCCUUCGGGUUGUAAAGCUCUUUUGUCCGGAAAGAAAAGCAUCCAGUUAAUACCUGGGUGUCCUGACGGUACCGGAAGAAUAAGCACCGGCUAACUUCGUGCCAGCCGCCGCCGUAAGAC